GACAGAGGGUGCAAACGUUGUUCGGAAUUACUGGGCGUAAAGCGCGCGUAGGCGGCCGCUUAAGUCGGAUGUGAAAGCCCCUGGCUCAACUGGGGAAGUGCACCCGAAACUGAGUGGCUUGAGUACUAAAGAGGGUCGCGGAAUUCCCGGUGUAGAGGUGAAAUUCGUAGAUAUCGGGAGGAACACCGGUGGCGAAGGCAGCUCGCUGGGACGGUACUGACGCUGAGACGCGAAAGCGUGGGGAGCAAACAGG
rnacentral:rRNA from 1 species